CUCCUCCUCCUCCUCCUCCUCCCUCCUGUCAUGAUUGUGAUCACCAAGCAACUUUCAAUGCUGUGAAAAUCCUUCCCCUUGGCGUUCAAGUCUCAUUGAGCUAAAUGAAGAUACCUUAAAUGAGUCAGCGGAGAUGUUGGCAGGGGUAUUACUUCUGGGCACAAUCCUUACAGCUAUACCAGGAAUCCAGGGCAGGUGGAGUGUGUCCUUCUCCCGAAGAGAGAUCUGUGUGUGGGCAGGAACGACCGUCACGCUGCCCUGUCGCUUUGACUA